CGCGGGUAAGUGUAAUGGAUGCACGCCGGGCUCAUAAUCCGGAGGCAGGAGGUUCGAUUCCUUCACCCGCAACAA
rnacentral:tRNA from 1 species